UACGGAAGGCAGCAGUGGGGAAUAUUGCACAAUGGGCGAAAGCCUGAUGCAGCUAUGCCGCGUGUAUGAAGAAGGCCUUAGGGUUGUAAAGUACUUUCAUCGGGGAGGAAAAAACAAAACUAAUAAUUUUAUUUCUUGACGUUACCCGAAAAAGAAGCACCGGCUAACUCCGUGCCAGCAGCCGCGGUAAUACGGAGGGUGCUAGCGUUAAUCAGAAUUACUGGGCGUAAAGAGCACGUAGGUGGUUUUUUAAGUCAGAUGUGAAAUCCCUGGGCUUAACCUAGGAACUGCAUUUUGAAACUGAAAUACUAGAGUAUCGUAGAGGGAGGUAGAAUUCUAGGUGUAGCGGUGAAAUGCGUAGAUAUCUGGAGGAAUAUCUGUGGCGAAAGCGGCCUCCUAAACGAAUACUGACACUGAGGUGCGAAAGCGUGGGGAGCAAACAGGGAUUAGAUACC
rnacentral:rRNA from 1 species